UGACAGGUUUAAAAAGAGCACCACGGUUAAGAUCUUCGAUCCAUCAGCUGCAGUAAUGCAUUGCGUCCCAUAAUGUAGAGCGAACUACUAAUAAAAUGUGGAGGUUUUCACUCCAUAACACUUACUUCAUUCCUUCAGAGGCCUGGAAAGAAGCACGCCAAAUCCAAAUAAACAGUUCACAUUCACAGGCCUUUGCAAUUUUCACGCCAUAUUUAGCCGGCCGGAGUCAUCCCAUCUCCUCUACAAAAACAUCUUACUCUAGCGUUUCGUACAUUUGUGAAGAAUUAAACAUGCCCUUUAAGUCAAACUCGACCGCCGUUAUUGGCGGAAAGGACGUGCUAGAAAAAUGAUUGCAGCGACCAGUCAUGCAGGACGUAAGGCAUGGAAAAAUACUGAAUACUCGCGGCGAAGUGAGUGCGGGGACACCACAGAUAUGA